GACGAACGCUGGCGGCGUGCUUAACACAUGCAAGUCGAACGGCAGCACGGGUGCUUGCACCUGGUGGCGAGUGGCGAACGGGUGAGUAAUACAUCGGAACGUACCUUAUCGUGGGGGAUAACGCAGCGAAAGCUGUGCUAAUACCGCAUACGCCCUGAGGGGGAAAGCGGGGGAUCGCAAGACCUCGCGCGAUUAGAGCGGCCGAUGCCUGAUUAGCUAGUUGGUGGGGUAAAAGCCCACCAAGGCGACGAUCAGUAGCUGGUCUGAGAGGACGAUCAGCCACACUGGGACUGAGACACGGCCCAGACUCCUACGGGAGGCAGCAGAGGGGAAUUUUGGACAAUGGGGGCAACCCUGAUCCAGCAAUGCCGCGUGAGUGAAGAAGGCCUUCGGGUUGUAAAGCUCUUUUGUCAGGGAAGAAACACCGGCUCUAACACAGUCCGGGAAUGACGGUACCUGAAGAAUAAGCACCGGCUAACUACGUGCCAGCAGCCGCGGUAA
rnacentral:rRNA from 1 species